UCUUUAACCCUGUCUUCCGCGAGGGGGCUUCCGUCACCCCUGGCAGUUCUUGACUCUGCGGCAAAAGGCUCAUUUACUGCCACUGCGUUGGUUUGGAGAUGUCAAUCCGCCCCCCCCCAACGGACAGGAGCUGGUUUAUCCCAAGAUGGCGGCGGUUCCCAGUUCCGGGCCGGGCCGACUCACGUGGGAGUGAGCCAGACUCGGGGUCUCCCGUAGCGUGGUCCCCCAGGACUGCAGAGCGCGCGCCGCUGCACCCGCUUCCGAGCCAUGCCUCACAGAAGGAAGAAACCCUUUAUAGAGAAAAAAAAAGCUGUAACAUUUCACCUGGUACACAGAAGUCAGAGGGACCCUUUGGCAGCUGACGAUACUGCACCUCAGAGAGUUCUGUUGCCUUCACAGAAGGGAGAUGAGGAACAGAGGAGAGAAGAGCAGAGGAAAUAUGGAGUGUUCUUUGAUGAUGACUACGACUACUUGCAGCAUCUAAAAGAAGCCUCUGGUCCCUCAGAGCUAGUCCCGUCUGAUGUGUCUGGUCAACAGAGCAGGAUUAUAGUGAGAGGGGAAGGAGAGAGAGAGGAAGAAAGUCAACAAAUUCCAUCUCCCACUAUUAAGUUGCCUUCCUCAGUGUUUGCCUCAGAGUUUGAAGAGGAUGUGGGACUGUUAAAUAAAGCUGCUCCUGUUUCAGGACCCCGUUUGGAUUUUGACCCUGAUAUUGUCGCAGCUCUUGAUGAUGACUUUGACUUCAAUAAUCCAGAUAAUCUUCUCGAAGAUGACUUUGUCCUAAAGGCCAGUGAGCCAGGGAAAGGGGUCUGGAAAGGAGAAGAUUGUCGGAGCUCUGAUACUGAGGAUGAAGAUGAGUGGGAGGAUAUGGAUGAUGGAAAGGACAACAACAGUAGUGAUGAAGAUUAUGAUUCAGAGGGUCCUUUGUCGGAUGAUGAGGGAGUUAGUGGAGAGAUGAAAGAGUUUCUUUUCAUGCAAGAGGAAACCAAGAGUCGUUUCACAGAAUACUCCAUAACUUCGUCCGUAAUGAGAAGGAAUGAACAGCUGACCCUGCUAGAUGAGAGAUUUGAGAAGUUCUUUGAACAGUUUGAUGACGAUGAGAUCGGAGCGUUGGAUAAUGUGGAAUUAGAAGGCUUUAUUCACACCGACAGCACUCGGUUGCAAGAAGUCCUGAAUGACUACUACAAAGAGAAAGCUAAGGACUGUGUGAAACCUGAUGCUCUUGAACCAAGAAAGGAUUUAGAUUCUCCCCUUAAUGAGAAGGGGGAGGAGGAAGAAGAAGAAGAAAUCGUAACUUUAGUUAUUGAGGAACCCAAAGAGAAGUGGGAUUGUGAAUCCAUUUUGAGUACAUACUCAAACUUGUAUAAUCAUCCAAAACUUAUUGAGGAGCCAGCAAAGUCCAAACCAAUCAAAAUUUCUCACAAGAGUGGAAUCCCACUGGAUAUCUUGCCUCAGAGAGGUCUUACGGCUAAGCAGACUGAACGCAUGCAAAUGAUUGAUCAAAGUGAUCUGCCAAGAGUAUCCACACAGCCACGUUCCAAAAAUGAGAGCAGAGAGGAUCGAAAAGCUAGAAAACAAGCUAUAAAGGAAGAACGAAAGGAACGGAGAAUGGAGAAGAAAGCCAACAAAUUAGCCUUCAAGUUGGAAAAAACAAGGCAAGAAAAAGAACUGCUCAAUCUGAGACAGAACGUUCAAGGGCUCAAGCUGUCGUAGUGGAACAGAUGACUUUCAUAUUGUGGAAAGUUCUUUGCAUUGUUCUUUGUGCUAGGAUCUUGGGAAGACAAUGACUCUCUUAACCUUGUCCCGUCAUGGACAGAAGUUCAUAACAUGGCCAUCAUCUUCCAGUUGACUGAGUCACUGCAUCAUUAAGGAUCCUAAUUUUUAUGUGGUUUAUGAAUGAAAAGGAUUGGAAUAAAACAAAACCUGAGUGUGGGCAUCCAGCUUCUCCUUUUUUAGUGGCAUGGAUAGAUUCAUUGGAGUCUUGUUUUGUUACAAAAACAUCUGAGUGCUGCGUAUUAAGCUGAAGAGUAAAAUCCUCAGCCGAAGUACCAGGCUGGCGUGGCAGCGAACUUCUGUGAGUGUCCAGUGAAAAGAUGUCCCUGAGGAACUUGGGAAUGGGGAUUGACUGUGUGUUACCUGCUAGGAAAGGUUUGGGCUGGCAAGGCAGACAAGCUGAUGUAUCAGCGGGCUGACUCAUAGCUUAGCAGCAGCAAGGCUCACUUGCUAAGUCAGGGCGGUAACUCAGUUUUGGGUGACAUGAGCAGGGCAUCAUAUCUUCCACCUACGAUUCAGAUUUGAUUGUGGAUGAUGCCGUUUUUUUUUUUCAACAUGUACCAGGGAAAACACAUAGAAACAAACACUCUGUCUAGAGCCCCAAUUGAGCAGCCAGCACCAGAAGAUGAAAAGGCUUUAGAGAAAGAUGUCAAAGGUUUAAUGACCUCAUUUUGGCAGCAAUUCUAGCAGCUGCCAGCUAACAUUAGAGAUGAACAACUAAAGGAUGAGACUUGCCAGAAACUGACUCAACUCUACCGAAGAAGGUGAGGUCAAAGGAGUCACCUUCCAGCAGACCCAUAUUGGUAGGACCAAAAUGACCUUAACACAGUGGAUGGUGUUUCUGAAAGGACAAUGCAUUCUUAUCCCAGUGGUGCUUCAGAAAGAGAUGCUCGCCAAAAUCCAUGGACUCCAAAGUAUAAACAAGCACCCAGCGCAAGCACAACAAUCCCUACUCAGACCAGGCCACCAUAUGGAAGUUCAGACUUUAGUAGAGGGCUGCAAGAUAUGUAAAAGUGGUGGUGGUGGGGGGGGUGGGGGGGAAUCACCAGAACCAUUACUCUCUGCAGAGCUACCUGACAGACCAUGGCAGUGGUUAGUCACAGAUUUGCUUUUCUGGAAAGGACAUACAUGCAUUAUUGUAGUUGAUUGUACUUUUCCAGAUAUAUUGACAGACUUCAUCAGCACAGGUCAUCCAGAAACCAAAGUCAGUAGUUGCAAGAUAUGGAGCUCCAGAAGUCCUCAUAUCUAAUAAUGAGCCUCAGUUUACCUCUGAAACCUUCCUAGCAUUUGCACAAGACUUUGAUUUUGAACAUUGUACUAUUUGUCCACGUUACCCCAGAGUAAUGAGGAGGUGCACAGAGCAGUGUGGACUUUAAAAAGACUUCUGCAAAAAUCACUGGACCCAUAUAAAGCAUUCCUUGGCCUAUCGGUCAACACUGUCUGAACGAUCUCCAGCAGAACUUCUGAUGGGAAGAUGAUCCAGGAUGCCUUUACCUGAUUCAGCUUAAACUUAAGUGGUCCAACCUGAAGGAAUUUAAAAAACUGUAUACCAAAAUAAAAAUUCAGCAACAACGAAAUUUGAAUUUUCAGCACCGAACAAAAGCACUACCUGAACUGAGACCAGGGAACAAAGUUUGGCUUAACAGCUCCCAGACAUUUGGAACUGUUCAGAACUUGGCAGAAAUUCCCACAUCCUACCUAGUGGGAACUCCGCCUGUACUUCUCUGGAGGGAUCGGGUUCAUCUGCAGUGUUUUCUAACAACACAGAGAGGAUCUGGAACCUGCAGGUACUUUGUCGGAAAGUGAUCCUCCUCCACAGGGAACUCCCUGCACAAACUCAAUAUGGAAAUGAGAACAUGGCCUGGAAGACUGAUCAGACCCCUUCAAAGACUUGAACUUUGGAAUACUGCUCAGGACUAUUUAAUUCCUUAAAACUAUUUGCACUACUCUAGCCCCUUAUCAGUUGCAUUUAAAGUUCAUUUUGAAUUGUGGUGUGUGUGUGUGUGUGUGUGUGUUUGUAUACAUUGUCUUAGUGUUUAAUCUUUUAUUAUUAAAAAAAGGGAGAUGUGGUGGGUUUAUAGCAUUCCUGGUCCUCUCUGGAGGACCAGGAUGUGUUGCAGCUGGGAGUUUAAUAAAGGUAGGAAUUUUCUGGUUGAGUUCUCCAGUUGGUGCUUAAACAUGGCUCUUGUGUUUGUCCUCACACUACACCAUCUCCCCAGAGUCACAACAUGACCUGUCCAUCACUCCUUUCUCAGGCAGAGAACAGGUACAGGAAAAGCAAUAGGCCAGAGACAGUGGAGAGUUAAAACAGAGUUGGCAGCUGGGCAGGAGGGAGGGGGACUCAUGAGUCUCUCCUUCCAUUGGGCAGUGGGGAAGGAGCAGGACUGGGGAGGAAGCCAACAGCUCGGAGGGUGAGAUGUCAGAGGGACUGACAUGCUAAAGAUACCUGUCUUCAAUAGCAGAGAGUAGGACGUUAGAACAAGUAUAUAGGAGAAGUUCAGUUGGCUUAGAGCCAAAGUUAGAAUUUAACCAUUUAGGCAUUUAUCAUCCUAGUAUCUAAAUGUGCCACUUGGUAAGUCUUCAGUUGAAUGGUAACCCCUAACAUUUCUUAUAUUAAACUGUAAAGUAACUCGUAUGGAAAUGGUGAAGCUGGCUCCUCCAGUUGGUAAGACAAACAGAGGAAAUGGAGGCCUGUGGGGUAUGAAAUUUACCCCACCACUGAGGUGGAGAGAUCACAAAAGGGGGAAGAAAAAACCCACAGGUGACUUUCGUUGUGCAAAAGUGCCCUUUAUACAACCAGUUCCAGAAAUCAUAGGGCCUGCUCUUACCAUUGAUUUUGGGGGGUGAGGGCAAGAAAUCCUGUGAAACUAAUAGUUUGAUAUGUUGAAUUUUAUACAGCUGCCAGAAGUCAAGAUUUGCUAGCUUGUGAAACCUGUGGAAGACAUUUUGCACAAGAUGUUCUGUUAAGGCACGAGCCAAUAUGCAGGAAAGUCUUCAACAAAAAGCGCAAACCUUUCAAUUCUUUGAAACAGAGACUGCAGGGAACUGAAAUUCCCUCAGUGAAGAAACAGCCACCACCAAAG